AAGAGGAACACGUCCAGCGAAUAUGGCAUAGUUUUAAUCGCUUGGAAAUCAACUUUGUGAACUCUAGCAAAAGGAACUUCAUUUAUAAACACUGGUGCAGGGUGUGUUUGCACUGUCGGCAGCCGUGGUCGGCAGGUGGUGAGCGGUGAGCGGUGACUGGUGAUGGACGUGCAGACGCCGGAGACGAGGCUGGGGCGGGAGGCGCUGAGAGACGCUGAGAUACGCACUAUGGCUACCCGGCGCAAGAAACUAAGGAAACUCCUGAUGAAGGAGUUUUUGUGUGAAAACUGCGAGCUCAACGCUCUCGGCCUGGCGUACGCGCCGCGAUAUCUAUAGAGUCCGGCCGCGGAGCACACACAAUUAUUAGACCGAUGACACAUACCUACUACAAGAUUACUAUAACGCUCAUGUUACGCACUUACCCGUAAAAAUGUAAGAAGUAAAGUGUAUUGUGUAGUACAGCGGUGUACAAGAAAAAUCGACAUGUAGUGAUGCCUCAAUAUACUGGACUAUAGACGCAAUCAUUGCUAAUAUGCAGUGCCGUAAAUAGCCUUUUUUUGCGCCCUGUGCGAGCUUCAUAACUGCGCCCUAGUUUUUUUAAAUUAGGUAUUAUAGGUACCCAGAGCAAUGCUAGUAUAUGCCUAUUUUGUUUCAUUCAGGGUGAUAAAAUAAAACUUGGUGUUAGUAGACCAAUUACAAUAAUAACAUAUUAGUAAUAUGUGACUACUGAGCAUCUUAAUGCUCGGGUCCAACUUCCAUAUUAUUGUCGUGGUAUAAUUACGACCCCAAAUUUUAUUGAACUUACCGUAAUAAAUAUUUUU